rnacentral:pre_miRNA from 1 species
CAAAGUGCUCACAGUGCAGGUAGUUUUGGCAGCGCUCUACUGUAGUGUGGGCACUUCCAGU